rnacentral:rRNA from 1 species
CGGACGGGUGAGUAACACGUGGAUAACCUACCUAUAAGACUGGGAUAACUUCGGGAAACCGGAGCUAAUACCGGAUAACAUGUUGAACCGCAUGGUUCAACAGUGAAAGACGGUUUUGCUGUCACUUAUAGAUGGAUCCGCGCCGCAUUAGCUAGUUGGUAAGGUAACGGCUUACCAAGGCAAUGAUGCGUAGCCGACCUGAGAGGGUGAUCGGCCACACUGGAACUGAGACACGGUCCAG